CAAGAGCGUAUGUAAAAGUUGCUGCAGUUAAAAAGCUCGUAGUUGAACCUUGGGUUUGGUUGGCCGGUCCGCUUUUUUGCGAGUACUGGAUUCAACCGAGCCUUUCCUUCUGGCUAACCAGUCGUUUCGGCGGCUGGCGAACCAGGAUUUUUACUUUGAGAAAAUUAGAGUGUUCAAAGCAGGCAUUAGCUUGAAUAUAUUAGCAUGGAAUAAUAGAAUAGGACGUUAUGGUUCUAUUUUGUUGGUUUCUAGGACCAUCGUAAUGAUUAAUAGGGACGGUCGGGGGCAUCAGUAUUCAGUUGUCAGAGGUGAAAUUCUUGGAUUUACUGAAGACUAACUACUGCGAAAGCAUUUGCCAAGGACGUUUUCAUUAA
rnacentral:rRNA from 1 species